GAUGAACGCUGGCGGUGUGCCUAAUACAUGCAAGUCGAGCGAAGCGGGGACGGGUGAGUAACACGUGGAUAACCUCCUAUAAGACUGGGAUAACUUCGGGAAACCAGAGCUAAACCGGAUCCUUAUAGAUGGAUCCGGGCUGCAUUAGCUAGUUGGUAAGGUAACGGCGUACCAAGCCACCGAUGCAUAGCCGACCUGGGAGGGUGAUCGGCCACACUGGAACUGAGACACGGUCCAUACUCCUCCGGUAGGCAGCAGUAGGGAAUCUUCCGCAAGGGGCGAAAGCCUGACGGAGCAACGCCGCGUGGGUGAUGAAGGUCUUCGGAUCGUAAAACUCUGUUAGUAGGGAGGCGGUACCUAAUCAGAAAGCCACGGCUAACUACGUGCCAGCAGCCGCGGUAAUUC
rnacentral:rRNA from 1 species